rnacentral:rRNA from 1 species
UACGUAGGGGGCAAGCGUUGUCCGGAAUCAUUGGGCGUAAAGCGCGUGUAGGCGGCUCGAUAAGUCUGCUGUGAAAGUCCAGGGCUCAACCCUGGAAUGCCGGUGGAUACUGUCGGGCUCGAGUCCGGAAGAGGCGAGUGGAAUUCCUGGUGUAGCGGUGAAAUGCGCAGAUAUCAGGAGGAACACCGAUGGCGAAGGCAGCUCGCUGGGACGGUACUGACGCUGAGACGCGAAAAGCGUGGGGGAGCAAAACAGG